AACCAUUCUCACCUGCGGCUAGACCUGCGGAGGGAUCAUUACCGAGUUUACAACUCCCAAACCCCUGUGAACAUACCAAUUGUUGCCUCGGCGGAUCAGCCCGCUCCCGGUAAAACGGGACGGCCCGCCAGAGGACCCCUAAACUCUGUUUCUAUAUGUAACUUCUGAGUAAAACCAUAAAUAAAUCAAAACUUUUAACAAUGGAUCU
rnacentral:misc_RNA from 1 species